UAGGGAAUCUUCCACAAUGGACGCAAGUCUGAUGGAGCAACGCCGCGUGAGUGAAGAAGGUUUUCGGACCGUAAAGCUCUGUUGUUGGUGAAGAAGGAUAGAGGUAGUAACUAGCCUUUAUUUGACGGUAAUCAACCAGAAAGUCACGGCUAACUACGUGCCAGCAGCCGCGGUAAUACGUAGGCGGCAAGCGUUGUCCGGAUUUAUUGGGCGUAAAGCGAGCGCAGGCGGAAGAAUAAGUCUGAUGUGAAAGCCCUCGGCUUAACCGAGGAAUUGCAUCGGAAACUGUUUUCU
rnacentral:rRNA from 1 species